UCAUAAAAAAAAAAAAAAAAAUGCAUUACCUGGUUUCAAUAGUAUAUAAAAUUAGCUUAAACGCCUAUAAGGCCACCACGUUUGACGCCGAAAGCUUAAUGCAUAUCAAUGUUCUUGAACUGAGUUUAUGAAGACCAAGUAUAACGACAAUUUUUACGCUUCAUCUAACAUAGCCGAUUGGAACAAUUAAUUUCAUUAUGAUAUGUAGGUACUAUGAAAGCAACAUAAUAUAUUCAAGCACAGCGAUAUUAUCGAUUGAUUGAUAGACCCGAUGCAAUUGCACUCUGAAUAACAAGUAGGUUUCAUACGUCUCAAUCGCAGACGUUGUGAUGCGAAAUCACGUGUCCACUGUCUGGUGUGUCAUUAACAUAAUUUUCACAUACGACAUUUAGUUUUAGUAUAUGCGGCUCGCCUUCUUGUUUAUAUAUUUUUUCCUUCAGCUGCAAGGAUAUAUCGCUCGCAAAUGAAGAUACUACCGGACUAAUCGGAUUUGCGACCCGCUGAGAAGAUCCGGCGAGAAACUCAGCGAACUAAUAGAUGGGUCAACCGAUGUCAAGCGAUUGCUAGAGGCUAUCUAUAAUUUGAAUACAGCCACUAAACUGUGAGACUAUGGCAACAAUAUUAAAAUAACGGCUUCCCUACACUCAAAUUGGGCCUCAUGAUCAAAAUAGGCUGAAAAAGCGGCUGUUUUGUCAACUACAAUAAAGUUUAGAAAUAGGCCAUAUACCUGACCGUGAAAGUGGAAAUUUUUGCAAGAAAAAUAUGAUAACAACUAGGUUGCCUGUCGCGGAGCAGUAAGAAGGCGUUUUGGCUUAAAGAAUAAACUGCUCACCAUCAUAUUGUCUUCGAAGCAAAUAACAAAAUGAAAUACAUACAUAAGAAUGAACUAAUACUGGCCCAGUUAACGGGAUUGCACCAUAAUAUUCAUUUGAUGUAUUAUAUUUUAUUUUAUUAUUAUCAUUUGAGGAAAACAAAUAUUGGUUUUCACAACUAUUUUCAUUGAUAAAAAACACCAAAUCUCAGCAAUGGUCAUUAAAUAAAAGAAAAUGAAAAUUGGUAGACAAACAGUAGAGAAAAUGGUAUUUAACUGUUUUUUGUCUUUGCCUAUUUAUUUAUAGAUAUUGCACUCAUAAAUCUGUUACUAAGUUAUGUAUUAUUUUUAUUUGUCAGCCCUGUUGAGCGGCAGUGCAGACGCCCACUCCCUGACACAGUGGGCGGACCUGUGCUCCGCUUUUCAACUUAUGGCUUCACCAUUCUUGCAUUGUGUAUCUUGGGAAGAUACCUCCAAUAGAAUAAGGUGUUUAUUACUUUGUAAAUUACUAUGUCUUUUCAUUAAUAAUUUAAAAGUUCGAAGUAAAUGGGCAUCUCACUGGCUGAUUAUUAUGAUGCUGAAACGGCAGAA